rnacentral:lncRNA from 1 species
CUUGAGCGUGGCGUUAGCGGGGAGGCGCCAGUAGUCGAUGGCGAUGGACGGGGCGGGGACGUUCUCGAUCUUGCCGGCCUCGAGGUCCUUGAGGUACUCGGUGUACGAGUGGAUGGCCUCCUCCUCCAGGUAGCCGACGACGCGGUGCGCGAACUUCGGGGACAGGAGGUAGCCGAGGAAGUAGGCGUUGAAGAAGACGCCCUGGACGGUGAUGACGAGCGCGCGCUCGUACCACCUCGGCUUCGCCACCUCCAUGAAGGUCAUGAGGUGCAUGCGCUCGUUCUCGGCCUCCUCCAGCAGCGCGCGGAUCCAGCCGCCGCUCUGCUCGAAGCGGCGGAGUGAGCGCAGGUGGAGCAGCAUGCCGCCCACCAUCCCGGGCACCGCUGCUACGGUCUCCAGCAUCAUCGCCCGGCAGCCAUACCGCCUCUGCAGAUUCGCCCAAUUCACAGGAUCAGCUUACAACAGUACAGGAAUAAUAAUCGAUCUUUCACAACCUUUGAAAAUAUUCAGAUCAUUUGCACAUGCAUCUACGAACGAAAAUUCUUCUAAAAGCCAUAUCAAAAAGAUGAAUUGCUAAUACAAACAAAUAUUAUCAAGCCUGUAUUUUAUUACUGGGCUCCCAUGCCAUAAAUCCGUUUGCUGAUGUCCUUGUCAGUUUCACUAUCCACCUUCGUCCAUAGAAUAUAAAAUCGUUUUCCAUAAGUGCUCGAUGUAAACUACUCAAUUUCAUCCACGUUGCAAAUUGCAAAUACAAAGUUGCGACUUCCCGGAAAUCAGGAGCACAGAAAAAAAUCCAGGAGCCACAAUAUACUUAACCCCCAUGCUACGACAUGUACUAGUGAGGUCGGUAUCUAGUGGUCCAACUAAUUAGAAACGCCGAACUGAUCAUCCGCCACGCUAUGGAACAGAGAGAGCAAUGGAUUGUGCGCGCGCGCGCGUGCACGAACCUGGAAGAAGAUGUCCGUGGGGAAGCGUAGUGACUUGACGGUCCAGUAGGCGAUCUUAUCCAUCAGCGUCUUGGGCUCAUGGUGCCUGGUGAGGUCAAUGGACGUGUCCGCCGUGUACGUCUCCCAUGGCUGCAACAAAAUCGCAACAGAUUAAUCACGCACAAUUAGCGCAGAUCGAUCCACCGCCGGGACGAAUUAACCGCAAAGCAAGGACAAAUAAACUGAACAAUGAUCAAAGCGAGGCGGAAGGCAGCGGGGCGCGCGUACCCUAAAGCAAGUCCACUUCCACUCGGUGCCGUCGUCCCGCACCAGCUUGUUGUUUUGCUCGAUCCCCCAGUAGCUGUUGAUCACCACCGCCUUCUUGUCCCCUCCCUCCUUGGAGGCCUUGGCUGCCUCGUCCUUCGCCUCCGAGGCGGCGGCGGGGGAGGACGUGGACAUCAGGCGUAACAUGACUGCCUGGACACCGUUGUUGCUCCCGCCGGCGAGCAAUGGCCUCGAGGCCGCCGCCGGUGAGACCGCCGCUGCGGUGAAUAGACGGGAGCCGGCGUGGCGGAGGAGGAUGGAUCCGGCCCUGGAGCUCAUCAUCGCUCGUUGAUCGCCGCGUGGGAGAAGUUGCGAAUUUACGAUCGCCGCCGCCUGGGAUGGGGGAAGUGAAUCGUUGGUGGGCCACCUGUUUUGACGUGGGUUGCAGUUUGGAAAUGUGGCGGAUGUUUUGGGGAGGACUUUUAUAUAGGACUGGUGGGUCCGCCCCGUCAGUGAUGGGGGAAGGUGCCUUGCUUCCCCGGGCUUCCAGAAACCCAGGAGAGCCUUUCUUCUUCUCCAAGUCGAAUGGUUUUAAUUCCCGUGAUUUUUUUUUUCUUAUGGUUGGAAACAGCCUGUGUCAUUAAGGUUCACGUGUGUGCACGCUAAAACCUGUAUCUGCGUUUGUGAUGCGAAAUUGGUACACGCAUCAGAUCUCUCUACAUGACAUAUGCAAGCUUGUAAGAUUUUUUUUUCUUUUAUUUCCCUGAGUGGUGACAAUAAAAAUACUAGAUUGCUUGUAAAUAAAACUGCUUGAUACGUUUUAAUGGGAUUAUUUUGUAAUGUUUCGGUUGAAAAUAUUCCGUUCACACCAUUGGAUUGUCAUAUCCUGAUAUCCAUGGUACGAACUAUGAAGUACGGAGUAGUUAGUACUUGUAGUUGUAGUACAUGUGGAGUAUAAGAAGAGAAAGCAAAGCAAAACGGUACUACAUGAUGGUUUCCGACUUUCCGUUCUGUUGUUUAUUUUGUCUUGUGGACCAAGAAAGACUCUAGCGGUCCAGCUUCGAGCGACCCCAGACCAAAACUUUGUCGGUCAAAUGUGGCAAGUACUGAAUUUAGGAUGUUUUUCUUCUAUAUACGGCGAGUUUUUUUUUGCAUUUAUUUAUAGAUCAUAAUUCAACCGUAUAUAAUGUGAGUACAAGAUGAUAUAUUAUAUAUAUACUUGAGUUCGGCCAGGAAACUUCCUGGGCCUUGCUUAAUUAAUCUUUGCUGGCAUUGAUUGUAUUUGCCACGCAAACGUAGCAUUAUUAUACUAGCUCCGUUCUCUAGCUUCUAGCUUCUUGAUUUUUUGGGUGGAGUGAUAUUUCUAAGUUAAUUUCAGUGGAGUAGGGUGGAUAAAUAAGUGAGACUUGAUUCACUCACGAAUGAUUUUAGUGGAGAUUGAAUAUGAAGUAGUGAGAAGCAGAUUUUUUUUUUUAGUUCUCAGCUUUCAAUGUAAAUGGAGAUAAGAUCAUUACCUAAUCUCCGAUAAAACCUCUAUGCAACUUUGAUGUUUGACGACAAGAAAUGAUUCUCGCACUACUACAUAAAAAAAAUUUCGUGGCCUUUCGAAAAUAGCCUCGGAGGUGGGCAGUUUCUUCAACCGCCUCGGUUAAUGCUUCGGAUUAACCGAGGCGGACAUUUCUUAUUAACCGAGGCGGCCAAAAAAAGUGCCUCACAAAAUCAAUUUACCGAGGUGGUCAUCUUAAGACAACUGCCUCUAAAAAUAGUUUAUUUUCGGAGGCGAUCAUCUUAUAACAACCACCUUUGUAAAUCUAUUAACCGAAGGCGGGCGCGCUAUAAGGCCCGUCUCGGAAAAUGUGGCCCAAUAGGUGGCCCAUUUCAGCCCGGUAUCACUUAUCGUAUAUAAACGAAGAGCUAGGGUUUUUUCUCACAGGCAGCGCCCCCUCCCCUUCCCUUCUCUCCCACUCCUCUCCCUCCCUCCCUUCCUCUCUCUUAUUCACGGCGCUCCCUACCCUUCCCUUCUCUCCCACUUCUCUCUUUAUUCUCUAGAUUCACGGCACCUCUUUCUCCACUUCGCGAGGCGGCGCAUGAGCAUGCCCAGGGUGAUGCACGGGUUGGUCCUUCAAGGCGUCGUGGGGGCGACCAUGGCGCGGACGGCGAUGCCCCCUCCUCUCUAACCCUGCGGCGCCCCCUCCCCUCCAGGUGACGAGCCCCUCCCCUCCCCCGUGCCAGAUCCGGCAAGGAGGUUGGUUGUUGCGCCUAGAUCCAGGUGACGAGCCCCCUCCCCUCCCUCUCUUUCUCUCUCUGGACCUCUCUCACCCUCUCUCUCUCUGGCAGGGCCCUCUCUAUGGCGGUGCAUGGAGCAGCGCCGCCCUGCUCCUUCGCGGGGCGAGCUCCUCCUUCGAGCGGUGGAGACAGUGGUCAGAUCGACGAACGUCGACACAGAUCCGAUGGUGGGAAGCUAGAGCCGGCUCUAGGAGGCUAGAUCCACCGGCAGGCGAGCGGAUCUUGGUGCUAUGCGUAGUCCGGCAUGGAUUUAGGCACCGGCGAAUGGCGGCGUCGGCAACAGGGCAUGGAUGGGCUCAGCGGGCCCAUAGAUGGGCUCGUUGGGCUUAUCCAUGGGUUUUUUUUGUUUUUUAUCCGGUUUACCGUGGCGGGCAACGGACUGCCUCGGAAAAGGUCACAUUAGCCGUGACCUUUGAUUCGAGGCGGUUGCAAAAACCGUCUCGGUUAAGGGAUUUUGUCCGCCUUGGAAAACAAAUAUUGUAGUAGUGUCGCAGAGGUUCACCCAAAAACCAAAAACUUUUUAAGAUUUCUCGUCACAUCAAAUCUUGCGGCAUAUACAUGGAGCAUUAAAUAUAGAUAGAAACAAAAACUGAUUGCACAGUUUGCCUAUAAAUCGCGAGACGAAUCUUUUAAGCAUAACUAGUCCAUGAUUAGACAAUGUUUGGCAAUCUUUUUAGAUUUUGACACUGUAGCACUUUCGCUUAUAUUUGACAAACAGUGUCCAAUUAUAAACUAACUAGAUUGAAAAGACUCAUCUCGAUAAACUGUGCAAUUAAUUAUUUUUUAUUUAUAUUUAUACUCUAUACGUAUAUGUAUGUCGUAAAUUUUAAUGUAAUGAAGAAUCUUAUAAAAGCACUUAGCCGCCCGCUAGCAUGCAGUAGCAGGAAAAGAGAGAUAGCAGCUGAGUGUGCGUAUACUACUGUAUGUAAUCAUCACGCAAUCAUUAUUUAAACACACGUCACUGUUCUCGAAAAAAAAGGAUUGCCUACUGUCUACCGCACCAAAAAAGGUCACAUCCACGGUUCAAUUUCUGAACAGUUUCCAACCGCCGCAAACUCCCUUCGUCGACGUCCCCGGCCCGUCUCCGUCUCGUCCAAUUCGAUUAUGAAAAACUACAUAAAAUCUCUAGAAGUAUAUCAAGUUACUCACGUGUAACAUUAUAAAACAUAAUCAUAAGUAACCUUAAAUUUGCAUAUAAUUAUUCAUCUAUCACUAUUAUAGAUAAUCUAAAUAAUCUUUUAAAUUUGUGUCUAUUGCCACUUUCCAUUACAAAUAAAUAAAUAAAUAAAUAUCACAUCAAAUCUAUAUUAAAUUACCAAUAUAUUGUUCUUUUAAAUGAAUUUAUUGGUUAGUUGAAGCUUUGGCAUAUCUAUAUUGAUAGUGUAAUUAUAAAAAAACUGUUUUUAUAAUAAAAAUAUCACUACACAUACAAUUCUUUGAUAAGAAAAUUUAAAUAUUUUGACCAGUGGGAGAGGUUAGUGCAAAUUAAAGAAUAAAAAUGGCUACAUCGUCCUUUUUUGGCGUUUGAGACUUUUUUUAAAGAAAAUAGUUACUAUAAUGGUUAAAUAUUAAUAUCCUCGUGAGAUUAGCAUGACUGUCCUUUCCUAGAUCUGACUUAAAAGAGCAAGGUAAUGUAGUUUUAAAUGGUUGUUUAUGACAUUUUUUUACUUCAGAGUGAACCCAGUUAGGAUCUAAAAUCCUUAUAAUGCACACGAUGUAAGUUUGAGAAAUCACCUCAUCGAGUCAUCGUGGAUGAAACAAAUUCAUCCCAAACUGAAGCCCAUGAAUUUAUGUUGGACGGUGUUGUGUUCUCCAUGCUAAUGCAGUGAGGUGGUGAUUAUUUCUCAGAACAUUUUAAUAGAUACCUUCGAUAAUAUUUACAACACGACAAGCCACACAAGCUUCCACUCAAAAAAAAGGACAAGCCACACGAGCAUGUAUAUAACACUUCACUACUAAAAAACAUUAUCAUAAUCGGUUCUAAAUAAACCUCAACAUAUGCUCUCAAACAUCCGUACCAUCUCAGCUACACAAAUACUUGUAACUAUAGAACUAAUAUUAUUCUAACUUCACAUUUACAAAUCUUGCAUUGUAUUUGACACCCUAAAAUUAAAGAUCUCAAAUAAAAAGGUUGUUAACACACUGUAAAGUGUAGAUCUGGUCAAGUACUACAAUUUUAAUAUUGAUUUUGGCUCCAUUCGAGAUUGUAUCAACCAUCCUAAAUCUGGUCUGAGAACUUAUAUUAAAUAUUUAAACAUAUAACUCAUCUCGAAUCAAAAAGUUUUCAACUAUGAAUUUUAGAAAUAUCUUUAAACUCUAUAAUUUUUCUAUAAAGUUUGUUUUGAUCCGACUUCAUAUGAAAAAAUGUAAUCGGUUGCUCAAUGGGUGCCCAUGGAUGCUUGGUGGGGAUAGUCUCCACCUAUUUUUUUUUCGUUUUUUGGAGUAGUGUUUGUUUGGUUAUACUUCAACCCGCACUAAUCCGUAUAGGUUAGGAGAGAUUGAAAUUUCAUUUCUGGUUGUACUCUGAUACACCCAAUUCACAUGGGUUGAAAGAAAUCAAGAUAAUAAAAAAAGUUUUAUUUUUCACCUCAAUCUGUUCCAACCGAAUCCUUCACGUGGCACAAAAUACCGAUUAUUUAUUAGAGUCGAGAAAAUCAGAUUCGAUCAUCAUGUGGCACAAAAUACAUAUUACUCCCUCCAUCCCAAAUUAUAAGUCAUUCUAAGAAUCUUGGAGAGUCAAACUUUUCUAAAUUUGACCAAAUUUAUAUUAUAAAAUAAUAAUUAUUAUGGUACUAACUAAGUAUCAUUAGAUUCUUUCUUAAUUAUAUUUUCAUAGUACACUUUACGUUACAAAUCUUAGUAUUUUUCUCUAUAAUUUUGGUCAAACGUAAAAAUGUUUUGACUCUACAAGAUUCUUGAAAUGACUUACAAUUUGACAUGGAGGGAGUAUUUGGUAGUUAUUUACACAAAUAAUGCAGACAAAUUUAUCACAAACAAGGCAGUAGGUCAAUUAACAUCAUGACCGGCCCGUAAUACAAGCGACAUUGAUAAACUAGCGGGCCACGUUGACUAAAUUAGUGGUACCCGAGUGGCGCAGGCGUGUCCCGCAAAUCAGACUCGAUUAUAGCAUGUGACAUAAAUAAUGCAGAUCACAAACAAGGCAGUAGGUUAAUUAUUAACAAUCAUGAAGCAGGCCACGUUGACUAAUUAGUGGUACCCGAGAGGCGCAGGCGUGUCCUUCAGCUUCAUCCCCUGGUAAUGGAUGUCCUGCAAUGCAAUCCAAUCCAAUGAAAUCGCGAUUAAUUAGUUGAGAUCUGUCAAACUUGUCCACAAAAAGCAGGUGAAUUCUUGCAAGGCAGCCGCCGUACCGAUGCGAAGUGGUUGACAUCGCGGUGGUGCGCCUCGUCGGCGCGCACGACGGUGACGACGUCCUUGAGCUUGGCGUCGGCGGGGAGGCGCCAGUAGUCGAUGGCGAUGGCGGGCGCCGGGGUGUUCUCGAUGACGCCGGCCUCCAGGUCCUUGAGGUACUCGGUGUACGAGUGCACGGCCUCCUCCUCGAGGUAGCCGACGAAGCGGUGCGCGAACUUGGGCGAGGCGAGGUAGGCGACGAAGUAGGCGUUGAAGAAGACGCCCUGCGCGGCGAGCACG